rnacentral:lncRNA from 1 species
CAGCCACGCCCAGCCUGUGGAACUCCUUGCCAGCUGACAACCGUCCCGCUCCUCCAGCAGCUGGGCAAAGGUCUUCCUGCUUCGGGAGUCAUUCAAAAACCUUCAGGUUAUAAUAUCUUUCACGGUUUUAAAACAAACGGGGACUGCUGUUUUUAAUUCAGUGCUUUUAAUUUUAAUUGCAUUUUCAUUACACUGUUGAAUUCCGCUCUGUUUCAGUGUUUUAAUAUUUUAGAGUGUUUUAAAUCUUAUUUUGGUUUUAAACCUGUCCAGUCGGCUUCAUGGUGGUCCUGAUCCUGUGAGGAAAGCAGCCCAUAAAAAAAAGACGUUCGUCCCUUCCUUUCCUCCUUGGGGGUCCAAAUGAGCCACGGCUGGGUUUGCUGCUUCAGGGUGAGAGUUGGGGGGGGGGUUCCACAUGGGCGUGUGGUGGGGGCCCCUCCUCAGAUUAACGUCUCCAUUAAUACCCACAGUUCUUACCUGAGGGGUCGAAAUCUCCACCAGGCCCUGAGAUGGCCUUGUGCGUCUUCCUCUCUGCUCCUGAACCUACCCUGCAAGGGUGUUAGGAAGAGGGAUGUUAAACCACCUGGAGCUCAUUGGUAGAAAGGCCGAUUUAAAACCCCAGGCACACAUUAAUAGAUUUGGUUGUUCUUUUAAAAAAAAUAAAUCUUUAUUUCUAGGAGCAACCUCUGUGCUUCUCCUCCUGCACCCCAAAUCCCGCCAAGGAGAAUCGGCCAACUCAGGAUCGGGAAAGAAAGGGCUUGCCUUAGGAUCGUGGGCAGAGAGGGACGCUCCCAAGGGGACCACAGGGUUGCAGGGCGUUGCUCCGGGUGAAGACAAGACCCCAGGCGGGGCCUCCUCCAUUUCCAGCGCCACCUCUGUUUUAUUUCGGGUUCAAUUCGGAAUUAGUGGGGAAUUCAGACGCCGCCCCUCUGAUUCCGAAGCAAAAAGCAGACUGCGCUGCGCCCGAUCCAGAGCGAGAAAGCGCCCGGUCGCAUCGGCUUCUCAAGAUGAGUGGAAAGAAAAGAAAAAUCUGCCCAACCCAGUCUUGGGGUUGAAGACGACAGUUCGAUCCUAA